rnacentral:lncRNA from 1 species
CAGCACAGGUGCAAAAUCUCUAUCGCGGGGGUCGGCACCAGGUGUCGCCUGGUAUCGUUCCGGUUUGAGACAAGCAUCCUGGGAUGCGGGGAGGACUCCCAGGCCCCCUAUGAACAGGAAACCAGGAACAGCUGGCCAAGGAGUUCACUAGGCUGCUUAGAGAAGCCAUGGAUGGAGUCCAGGCCUUUUUCUAUGGAUACAGUUAAGUACAGCACCCAAGAAGCCAAGAAGAUAGAAAACAUGAGAAAUAUCUUACCUGGCACACCAUGAUUCUAGCUGGUACCUGUUGUUCCUGAAGCCAUGACAACGUGAGCCAGAUAAUAGAUAAACCAUAUUCACGAGAAUUCUGAUUGGCCAUGGAUAUAUCUGGUCCUAGAACAAGAGGAAGUCUUGUUAAGCAUUCCCCAGAGAGAAGAGGUCUUUCCAGGGCUACUAAUGCUCUCUCCUGCAGGGUAAAGUGCCUUCUCAACUGGAUGCCCACGCAAUGACAUUGCUUCCCUGGUGAGUUUCCCCUCUAUGACAGCUCGCAACUCCUGAGAACUGCUUUGUUACAAGACUGCCAUGCU